rnacentral:lncRNA from 1 species
UAGUACUUGAAAAAUUUCGGACUCUUUGGAUGGAUUUGUAAUGGAUUUGAAAACAUUUCGGACUUGAAAUGUGUUGGACUAUAAAUGUGGUGCUGUGUAUAUGUAUGGAUCUGUAUGUUGUGAAUCUGUGAUGUUGAGAAUCUGAUUAUAUAUGUAUAUAUGCUGUGUUGUGCUGUGCUGUCAACUCGAUUAUUGUAAUUUUUAUUUUUUUUCUGAAAAAUAGCUGUAGGGGCGGUU